rnacentral:lncRNA from 1 species
UCCAAGGCACAUGUGUGCCUUAACCCACCCUAUAGCUUAACACUAGAAAAGUGGGCUCAGCCUAUCCGGAGAGCCUUUGGAUGGAGUCUGAGAGGCAGGACUCCUAAUUCUGCUGAUGACACUAUUUUUGACUCUUUUUCUGCACCCUUCGCAAUCCUGCCUCUGUCUCACCCCAUCCAUUAAACUGUGCCUUACAGGACAGAGUACAAGGUCUUGAGUACAUACCAGCGAGGACACCCAAAUAGAAGACAUAUUUCAUGGUGAUCCAGCUCUUCCCCCUGUGAGAUGUAGAAGAAAAUCAGCAGAGUGUGGAGCGGUUGGCUUAGUUGUCUUCUCAGGAACACCUGGUAGACUCAGUGGCUAUGGUUAGAUACGGAGGCACUCCAUGGGAUUGGAAAGCAGCUCUGGGCAUAAACAGGGGAGGGAGAUGGCUUCAGAGAGACAGAUGAAAGCCCUCUGUUCCAGGGAAGGUGGAGGACUGUGCCUCUGUUGGGGCAUUUCAGGGAAGGAAACUCCUGGAUUCAGCUCCUUCUAUCUGCUGCCCCUAAAAACACAUCUGUUUGAAGGUAGUUCAGUUGUCUGUGGAAAUGGCAGCUCUAGGCUCAGGACUUAUCUUCCCCACAGAGUUUCUGAGACCAGGGCUAUGAGGGACAAUAUUCUUUACCUUAGCUCAGGGAGUAAGUGUCCUGAGGUUUGCUCUGAACCUCCUAAUAGUUACUUAUACUUUCCCCAGCCCCUCCCAUCUUUGUUACACUAGCUUCAUAUGUCCCUCUGAUCACUGUUUCAUCACUCAGUCAUCAUCACCAACUUGGUGUUUUUUGUCCUGAGCAACAGCAUUGAGCCAAGAAAAUAUGGAAAUGAAAAGCAUUCAUAGAACAGUUAUCUUGAUAGUUGGGGAAUUGUUUACAGUCUAGAUGACAUUAGGCCUGGUGACAAUUCAGAAGGCAGUACCUCUAAUACUUAAAGACUUAGACCAAUAUUAGACUACCAAAGUCAUCCUUGGAUAAUUGGGAGCAUAGUCUAACAAGAAAAUGAGCGGUAACACUAAUAGCUGAUAUCCUCUAAGCAUUUACUGAAUCCUAGGCACUGAGCUAAGAUCUUUACGGACUUGUCAGUAGAGAUUUUAUAUCAGGUUAGUCUGAGAUGUAAAAUUCACUACACUUUGUAUCACUCUAACCCUUUAAAGUUUCUUAAACCCAUAAUCUCUUUCCAAAUGUCACAACAACCCUAGAAAGAAGAGAUAGGGCUGGGUCUGGUAUCUAUUUCUGGUCUGUGGGUGGCAGAACUGAAGCAGAGAGAAUCUAAGUAGUUUUCCCAAAGUCACAUGUCGUGGACAAUGAGAAAUAGGCCUUGUCACUGGUGUAGGGUUGCAGGUCCCCCACCAGGAUACUUAAGGGUGUAUGACCACUGCUUGAACCUUAAUGGCUAAGUAGUGAGUCAAGGACACGGUGCCCAGCCAAGAAGCAGGUAUCCUUGAUGGCCAAGUGGUGAGUCAACGCCAUGGUGUCCAGCUGAGGAGCAGGUGUCCUUGAGUACCCAAACAUCCCAGAGAAUACCUGAGAACCUAUCAAGGAAAACAGUCCCAUCAUGCACACACAGUAGGCAAAGAGCCAGAAAAUUAGCUUAAAAGCAGCUUAGAGAUGGAAAGCAGGGCAGGUCUCUAAAGGUGUCCUCUGCUAUCUAGGAGUGUCUCAUAUGUAAGUCCUAAUAAACUUAUCCACUGGCCAAGCUGGACUUGUCUGAGUCAUUCUUUGGUCUCUUGGCUCCCUCCUAGUUUGGGGGAAAGGUUUUUUUAAAAAUAUGAUUCUGGAUUUUUCUUGUUACAAUUGGCAUCACAAAUGGGGUCAGAGAGACCAAACUUCGAGCCAGGAAUGAGUGUCUAUGGUGGGGAAUCCCUGGGCAGUCGGCAAUGUCCAUGUGGAGUGGAGUUGCCCAACUGCACAACUUUUGUGGGCCACUGCAUGAGUACAGGGAUGCUUGGAAAACAUGGGCAAGGACUGAAUACCUAUUGCCAAGAAGCCAAGAUAUUAAAGUAUGAUAAUGAUAGUAAAUGUGGUGUUAUUGCAAUAAGGCUGGCUAAUCACAAAUCAUUAGAGCAGGAAAGGGAGAAAGGGUAGAAACUCCAGCAGAAGCUAAAAGGCAUGGUUUUCUAAUCCUCCAGCUGGUUACAUAUUAUGGCCCUUUCUUGUGUACAUUUUAAAACUGACGGGCAAAUUACAACAAGAAAAAUUCAGAGCUCAAAUGUUUAAUCUACAACUAUAGAGUUAAGUAGAGUCUUCUAAAGCUCUCUAUUUCUCUUUCCUUUUCUGCCUGCUUUGAAUCUACUGUUAAUAAGUUACUGGUAUUGAGAUAAAACUCACUAAUUCAAGGUCAAUUUGAGAUUUUUUUUUUCCUCAUAUGGUUCAGCCAGUUCUAGCUAAAAUGUAAAGAAUUAAACUCAUUUGGAACUGAAAAAAAAUGGAUAAAGGAGGUUUUUAAAAAUCAAACUGCCAUAGAAACUGCUUUACCCAAAUUAUUGAUCCACUGCUUUCCUUGGGUUACCUAUUGGGGCAAAUAAAGUUUAGCCAUGUGAACAGGUCCCAAUUUUAUCAAAAAUAAUCUGGAUCCAGCUGUCUUUUAUAUAGUAAUGAGUUUGUGAAGCUAGAAUUCCAAAAGCUAUUGGUAAAAGCUAUCGGAUCUUGCAUGUAUAUGUAUAAACAUGUUUAAAUGUGUUAUGUGUAUGUGCAUGUAUUAUGCUAUGUGUUAUAUCUAGCAUGGUACCGAAUAGCUUAUAAGUAAAUACGUACUCAUAAAUUAAAUAAGUCCAGAUGCUCUUCAGGUUCACGUGA